AGAUUGAACGCUAGCGGGAUGCUUUACACAUGCAAGUCGAACGGCAGCGCGGACUUCGGUCUGGCGGCGAGUGGCGAACGGGUGAGUAAUAUAUCGGAACGUGCCCAGUAGCGGGGGAUAACUACGCGAAAGCGUGGCUAAUACCGCAUACGCCCUACGGGGGAAAGGGGGGGAUCGCAAGACCUCUCACUAUUGGAGCGGCCGAUAUCAGAUUAGCUAGUUGGUGAGGUAAAGGCUCACCAAGGCGACGAUCUGUAGCUGGUUUGAGAGGACGACCAGCCACACUGGGACUGAGACACGGCCCAGACUCCUACGGGAGGCAGCAGUGGGAAUUUGGACAAUGGGGGAAACCCUGAUCCAGCCAUCCCGCGUGUGCGAUGAAGGCCUUCGGGUUGUAAGCUACUUUGGCGAGGAAGAAACGGACGUGCCUAACGUACGGACGUCACUAGACGUACCGU
rnacentral:rRNA from 1 species